UUUAACAUUACUUAUUUUUUACAAAAAAAAUCCUUAUAGAGUGUGACAGUUUUAGGACAUUUGGGAGAGUCUAUAAGCUUAAAACUGCUUACAUAUUGUUCAAAUUCAGCCAGAUGUCCGUGUAAAUUCCUUUUCAAUACUCUACAUAUAUGAAUAUGGAAUUUACCAAACAAUAUUAAAACAUUGAUAAUGUAUUCAGUGAUCUCUCCCACAAGUGUUAUGUAGGUUUUGAAU